rnacentral:tRNA from 1 species
GGCCCAUUAGCUCAGUUGGUUAGACCGUCGUGCUAAUAACGCGAUCGCAGGUUCGAGACCUGCAUGGGCCA